GAGGGUAUAGCUCAGUGGUAGAGUGCAUGCUUAGCAUGCACAAGGUCCUAGGUUCAAUCCCCAGUGCCCCCA
rnacentral:tRNA from 1 species